rnacentral:rRNA from 1 species
UCAGGACGAACGCUGGCGGCGUGCUUAACACAUGCAAGUCGAACGGUAAGGCCCCAGCUUGCUGGGGUACACGAGUGGCGAACGGGUGAGUAACACGUGGGUGACCUGCCCCGCACUUCGGGAUAAGCCUGGGAAACUGGGUCUAAUACCGGAUAGGACCGCACCGUGAGGGUGUGGUGGAAAGUUUUUCGGUGUGGGAUGGGCCCGCGGCCUAUCAGCUUGUUGGUGGGGUAAUGGCCUACCAAGGCGGCGACGGGUAGCCGGCCUGAGAGGGUGGACGGCCACAUUGGGACUGAGACACGGCCCAGACUCCUACGGGAGGCAGCAGUGGGGAAUAUUGCACAAUGGGCGGAAGCCUGAUGCAGCGACGCCGCGUGGGGGAUGACGGCCUUCGGGUUGUAAACUCCUUUCACCAUCGACGAAGGUUUUCUGACGGUAGAUGGAGAAGAAGCACCGGCUAACUACGUGCCAGCAGCCGCGGUAAUACGUAGGGUGCGAGCGUUGUCCGGAAUUACUGGGCGUAAAGAGCUCGUAGGUGGUUUGUCGCGUCGUCUGUGAAAUUCCGGGGCUUAACUCCGGGCGUGCAGGCGAUACGGGCAUAACUUGAGUACUGUAGGGGAGACUGGAAUUCCUGGUGUAGCGGUGAAAUGCGCAGAUAUCAGGAGGAACACCGGUGGCGAAGGCGGGUCUC